GGGUGCAAGCGUUACUCGGAAUCACUGGGCGUAAAGCGCGCGCAGGCGGUUAGGAAAGUCAGAAGUGAAAUCCUACGGCUCAACCGUAGAACUGCUUCUGAAACUCUCUAACUAGAGUGUGGGAGAGGUGAGUGGAAUUAGUGGUGUAGGGGUAAAAUCCGCAGAGAUCACUAGGAAUACCAAAAGCGAAGGCAACUCACUGGAACAUUACUGACGCUGAGGCGCGAAAGCGUGGGGAGCAAACAGGAUUAGAUACCCUGGUAGUCCACGCCCUAAACGAUGAAUGCUAGUCGUUGGUAUGCUAGUCAUAUCAGUGAUGCAGUUAACACAUUAAGCAUUCCGCCUGGGGAGUACGGUCGCAAGAUUAAAACUCAAAGGAAUAGACGGGGACCCGCACAAGUGGUGGAGCAUGUGGUUUAAUUCGAAGAUACGCGAAGAACCUUACCUGGCCUUGACAUCCCGCGAACCCUGCAGAGAUGCGGGGGUGCCCCUUUUGGGGAGCGCGGUGACAGGUGCUGCACGGCUGUCGUCAGCUCGUGUCGUGAGAUGUUGGGUUAAGUCCCGCAACGAGCGCAACCCUCGUGUUUAGUUGCUAACAGUUCGGCUGAGCACUCUAGACAGACUGCCUCCGCAAGGAGGAGGAAGGUGAGGACGACGUCAAGUCAUCAUGGUCCUUACGGCCAGGGCGACACACGUGCUACAAUGGGUAGGACAAUGAGAGGCAAUACCGCGAGGUGGAGCAAAUCUAUAAACCUACUCUCAGUU
rnacentral:rRNA from 1 species